GUGCUGAAACACAGCCCGAGGAAUAGCUCAACUUCCACAAUUCAACCAAUACCAAAACAGGCUGUGGUGGUACCACAUCCAUCCAUCGGUACAGUGCGUGUGUUGCUACACAGCUCAACAAAUGGUGCUGUUCUCCCACAUUUAAACCAGUGACAGGGCAGAAUAAGAUGGUAUCAGUGCCUUC